rnacentral:misc_RNA from 1 species
ACAAACUUGGUCAUUUAGAGGAAGUAAAAGUCGUAACAAGGUUUCCGUAGGUGAACCUGCGGAAGGAUCAUUAGUGAAAUCGAGGCUUCGGCCGCGAAACACACACGCCGCUCGCCGGCUGUGCGCCCUCCGGGGGCUUGCACGUCGGCGCGGCACCCCAUUCCACACACCUGUGCACGAUUCGGACGCCUCGGUGAACCUCGCGGUCCGCCGGCGUUCGCCCCACACACAAACUCUGUACACGAAUGUCAUCAUGCCAUAAUGUAAUACAACUUUCAACAACGGAUCUCUUGGCUCUCGCAUCGAUGAAGAACGCAGC